rnacentral:rRNA from 1 species
AGAGUUUGAUCAUGGCUCAGAAUCAACGCUGGCGGCGUGCCUCAGACAUGCAAGUCGAACGAUUAAAGCUCUCUUCGGAGAGUGCAUAGAGUGGCGCACGGGUGAGUAACACGUAAGUAAUCUACCUUCGAGUGGGGAAUAACGUCCGGAAACGGACGCUAAUACCGCAUAAUGCAGCGGCAUCGCAAGAUGACAGUUGUUAAAGGAGCAAUUCGCUUGAAGAGGAGCUUGCGGCAGAUUAGCUAGUUGGUAAGGUAAUGGCUUACCAAGGCUACGAUCUGUAACCGGUCUAAGAGGACGGUCGGUCACACUGACACUGAAUAACGGGUCAGACUCCUACGGGAGGCAGCAGUCGGGAAUUUUGGGCAAUGGGCGAAAGCCUGACCCAGCAACGCCGCGUGAAGGAUGAAAUCCCUCGGGAUGUAAACUUCGCAAGAACGGGAAGAAUAAGUAGGGGACAAUACCCCCUAUGAUGACGGUACCGUUUGUAAGCUCCGGCUAACUCCGUGCCAGCCGCCGCGGUAAUAC